CGCUGCAGCUACUGCGGACGCUGGCCAAGUCGCAUCAGAGCCACAUUUUGCAGGCGGGAGGGGUACAGUGCGUGGUGGACCUAUUGAGACGUGCCCCAACUGAGGCGUGGGUGCAGGAGGUUGGGCUCACGGUGCUGUGGCUGUC
rnacentral:rRNA from 1 species